UUACGGCCACAUCAGACACAAACGACGGUUUCCAUACGAUCACCGAAGUUAAGCAACGUCGAGCCUGAUCAGAUACUAGAUAGGUAUCUGCAUGGGAAUACCAGGUGCUGUAAU